CAGUAGCCGCGGUAAUACAGAGGGUGCGAGCGUUAAUCGGAUUUACUGGGCGUAAAGCGUGCGUAGGCGGCUUUUUAAGUCGGAUGUGAAAUCCCUGAGCUUAACUUAGGAAUUGCAUUCGAUACUGGUUAGCUAGAGUGUGGGAGAGGAUGGUAGAAUUCCAGGUGUAGCGGUGAAAUGCGUAGAGAUCUGGAGGAAUACCGAUGGCGAAGGCAGCCAUCUGGCCUAACACUGACGCUGAGGUACGAAAGCAUGGGGAGCAAACAGGAUUAGAUACCCCUGUAGUCCCUGUCUCUUAUAC
rnacentral:rRNA from 1 species